rnacentral:rRNA from 1 species
CGGUGAAUACGUUCCCGGACCUUGCACACACCGCCCAUCAAGCCAUGGAAGCCGGGUGUACCUAAAGUCGGUAACCGUAAGGAGCCGCCUAGGGUAAAACUGGUGACUGGGGCU